AUUGAACGCUGGCGGCAGGCCUAACACAUGCAAGUCGAACGAGUGGCGGACGGGUGAGUAAUGUCUGGGAAACUGCCUGAUGGAGGGGGAUAACUACUGGCAACGGUAGCUAAUACCGCAUACCAUCAGAUGAUCCCCGGUGGGAGUAGCUUGUUGGUGGGGUAACGGCUAACCAAGGCGACGAUCCCUAGCUGGUCUGAGAGGAUGACCAGCCACACUGGAACUGAGACACGGUCCAGACUCCUACGGGAGGCAGCAGUGGGGAAUAUUGCACAAUGGGCGAAAGCCUGAUGCAGCCAUGCCGCUUGUAUGAAGAAGGCCUUCGGGUUGUAAAGUACUUUCAGCGGGGAGGCGUUACCCGCAGAAGAAGCACCGGCUAACUCCGUGCCAGCAGCCGCGGUAAUUC
rnacentral:rRNA from 1 species